UACGGGGGGGGGCAAGCGUUGUUCGGAAUUACUGGGCGUAAAGGGCUCGUAGGCGGCCAACUAAGUCAGCCGUGAAAUCCCCAGGCUUAACCUGGGAACUGCGUCUGAUACUGGAUGGCUUGAAUUCGGGAGAGGGAUGCAGAAUUCCAGGUGUAGCGGUGAAAUGCGUAGAUAUCUGGAGGAAUACCGGUGGCGAAGGCGGCAUCCUGGACCGACAUUGACGCUGAUGAGCGAAAGCUAGGGGAGCAAACGGG
rnacentral:rRNA from 1 species